GCAUUAAUGGGGUAGUGGUAACCUGGGUCGUUGCCAUAAAUUGGAUUCCGUUGAGGUCUGUCGACCCGCCGGGGGUUCAAUUCCCUCUUAAUGCA